rnacentral:rRNA from 1 species
GAUGAACGCUGGCGGCGUGCCUAAUACAUGCAAGUCGAGCGAACAGACGAGGAGCUUGCUCCUCUGACGUUAGCGGCGGACGGGUGAGUAACACGUGGAUAACCUACCUAUAAGACUGGGAUAACUUCGGGAAACCGGAGCUAAUACCGGAUAAUAUAUUGAACCGCAUGGUUCAAUAGUGAAAGACGGUUUUGCUGUCACUUAUAGAUGGAUCCGCGCCGCAUUAGCUAGUUGGUAAGGUAACGGCUUACCAAGGCGACGAUGCGUAGCCGACCUGAGAGGGUGGACCGCCAAACCGGAACUGGGACACCGGCCCAGCUCCCAACGGAAGCCAGCGGAAGGAAUCUUCCGCAAUGGGCGAAAGCCUGACGGAGCAACGCCGCGUGAGUGAUGAAGGUCUUCGGAUCGUAAAACUCUGUUAUUAGGGAAGAACAAAUGUGUAAGUAACUAUGCACGUCUUGACGGUACCUAAUCAGAAAGCCACGGCUAACUACGUG